rnacentral:rRNA from 1 species
UACGUAGGCAGCAAGCGUUGUUCGGAAUUACUGGGCGUAAAGAGUGUGUAGGCGGUGCUCUAAGUUCGGUGUGAAAUCUCCCGGCUCAACUGGGAGGGUGCGCCGGAAACUGGGGGUGCUGGAGCGCGGGAGAGGAAAGCGGAAUUCCUGGUGUAGCGGUGAAAUGCGUAGAUAUCAGGAGGAACACCGGCGGUGUAGACGGCUUUCUGGACCGUACUGACGCUGAGACACGAAAGCGUGGGUAGCAAACAGG